GAUGAACGCUGGCGGCGUGCCUAAUACAUGCAAGUCGAGCGAACGGACGAGAAGCUUGCUUCUCUGAUGUUAGCGGCGGACGGGUGAGUAACACGUGGAUAACCUACCUAUAAGACUGGGAUAACUUCGGGAAACCGGAGCUAAUACCGGAUAAUAUUUUGAACCGCAUGGUUCAAAAGUGAAAGACGGUCUUGCUGUCACUUAUAGAUGGAUCCGCGCUGCAUUAGCUAGUUGGUAAGGUAACGGCUUACCAAGGCAACGAUGCAUAGCCGACCUGAGAGGGUGAUCGGCCACACUGGAACUGAGACACGGUCCAGACGCCUACGGGAGGCAGCAGUAGGGAAUCUUCCGCAAUGGGCGAAAGCCUGACGGAGCAACGCCGCGUGAGUGAUGAAGGUCUGCGGAUCGUAAAACUCUGUUAUUAGGGAAGAACAUAUGUGUAAGUAACUGUGCACAUCUUGACGGUACCUAAUCAGAAAGCCACGGCUAACUACGU
rnacentral:rRNA from 1 species